GAACGGGCCUCGGGGGAAAUGGAGUCAGGAACAAGAUGGUUGUCAGGAGUAGUGCAGUAUUAUCAUAAGGAGACAUGUACUUGGAAAACGGAGGAGGAAUGGAGGGAGGAGGUAUAAGAGAUGGAGGGUGCUGGACAAGCUGAGUGUGGUGGUGGUGGAGGAGAGGGCUACUGGAGAAGGCUAUAUUUCAGGACCAUGGCUGACUUUAACGACACAAAGUGGUGGAAGCAGUUGAGAGACAUUCACCCCUUCACAGGCCUGCCCAGGCAGACUGAGAGUGUCCUCAGGAGCCAGCAUGUGACCUGGGAGAUCAGUGUCUGACAAGAGGGGGUUGGAGGGGACUUUGAGCAGAGCUUGGCUGGAUUAUGUCCUUUCAAUUUCAGGUUUCAUUUCAGCAGAAAAGGAUGAUGGAAUGCAUGAUAGAUUAAAUAAUUAAAUCAUUCAGUCAUUAAUUCUCUCAUUCCCUCCCCCUACUCCAUGCAAGAGGACAAGCCUCCUUUUGAUGACGUGGACCCUAACUUCGGCCUCCAUGAUUACAUGCUCCGCAUUAUACUGGACAACACUCUAACCCAGAUAAUGGCCCGGCCACUUCUCUCAACUCUACUGCCGCAAAAGUAAACAAACCACUACCAAGAGAGUUUCUAUUCUAGACCUACUGUAUAUACCUUGGGUACCAGAAUGCAACUGUACCAUACGACAGUCUGUAGUUGACUUUGGUUGGGGUUGUCCAGCUCAGGUCCAUGAUAGUGUCAUCCAGCUGAACGUCAUCAAUAGGGGAAGCCUGUCCCAGCACACGCCUCUCUCUGGCAGAAUCAGUAUGCCCUGGAAGUGUGACGCUCUGGAGGGCACCGUGGAGGUGCACUGACUCCCACUGGUUGAGGUUACACUAUAUAGUAAUAUAUGCUAUUUAGCAGAUGAUUUAUCGAAAGCGGCUUAUUCAUGCGUGCGUACCAAUAGGCCUAGAUGAUGGGGAUAUUGUAAUAACAGAACAGCAGACAUAGACA
rnacentral:lncRNA from 1 species